rnacentral:rRNA from 1 species
CCUACGGGACGCAGCAGUGGGGAAUAUUGCACAAUGGGGGGAACCCUGAUGCAGCGACGCCGCGUGAGCGAAGAAGUAUUUCGGUAUGUAAAGCUCUAUCAGCAGGGAAGAAAAUGACGGUACCUGACUAAGAAGCCCCGGCUAACUACGUGCCAGCAGCCGCGGUAAUACGUAGGGGGCAAGCGUUAUCCGGAUUUACUGGGUGUAAAGGGAGCGCAGGCGGCGCGGUAAGUCUGAAGUGAAAUGCCGGGGCUCAACCCCGGAACUGCUUUGGAAACUGUACAGCUAGAGUGCAGGAGGGGUGG